rnacentral:rRNA from 3 species
AGAGUUUGAUCAUGGCUCAGAACGUACGCUGGCGGCACGCCUAACACAUGCAAGUCGAACGAAGUAGCAAUACUUAGUGGCAGACGGGUGAGUAACAUGUAGGUAUCUGCCCUUUGGCCUGGAAUAACACGAGGAAACUUGUGCUAAUACCGGAUAAGUCUUUACGGAGAAAGCUUUAUGCACCAUUGGAUGAGCCUGCACUUGAUUAGUUUGUUGGUGGGGUAAUGGCCUACCAAGACUGUGAUCAAUAGCUGAUUUGAGAGGAUGAUCAGCCACAUUGGGACUGAGACACGGCCCAAACUCCUACGGGAGGCAGCAGUGGGGAAUCUUGCACAAUGGAGGAAACUCUGAUGCAGCGAUGCCGCGUGAGUGAAGAAGGCCCUUGGGUUGUAAAGCUCUUUCGUCGGGGAAGAAAAUGACUGUACCCGAAUAAGAAGGUCCGGCUAACUUCGUGCCAGCAGCCGCGGUAAUACGAAGGGACCUAGCGUAGUUCGGAAUUACUGGGCUUAAAGAGUUCGUAGGUGGUUGAAAAAGUUAGUGGUGAAAUCCCAGAGCUUAACUCUGGAACUGCCAUUAAAACUUUUCAGCUAGAGUAUGAUAGAGGAAAGCAGAAUUUCUAGUGUAGAGGUGAAAUUCGUAGAUAUUAGAAAGAAUACCAAUUGCGAAGGCAGCUUUCUGGAUCAUUACUGACACUGAGGAACGAAAGCAUGGGUAGCGAAGAGGAUUAGAUACCCUCGUAGUCCAUGCCGUAAACGAUGUGUGUUAGACGUUGGAAAUUUAUUUUCAGUGUCGCAGGGAAACCGAUAAACACACCGCCUGGGGAGUACGACCGCAAGGUUAAAACUCAAAUGAAUUGACGGGGACCCGCACAAGUAGUGGAGCAUGUGGUUUAAUUCGAAGAUACGCGCAGAACCUUACCAACACUUGACAUGUUCGUCGCGACUCUAAGAGAUUAGAGUUUUCGGUUCGGCCGGACGAAACACAGGUGCUGCAUGGCUGUCGUCAGCUCGUGUCGUGAGAUGUUGGGUUAAGUCCCGCAACGAGCGCAACCCUCACUUUUAGUUGCCAUCAUUAAGUUGGGCACUCUGAAAGAACUGCCAGUGAUAAGCUGGAGGAAGGUGGGGAUGACGUCAAGUCCUCAUGGCCCUUACGUGUUGGGCUACACACGUGCUACAAUGGUAUCUACAACAGGAAGCAAGACUGCGAAGUUAAGCAAAUCCCUAAAAGAUACCUCAGUUCGGAUUGCACUCUGCAACUCGAGUGCAUGAAGCUGGAAUUACUAGUAAUCGUGGAUCAGCGUGCCACGGUGAAUGCGUUCCCGGGUCUUGUACACACCGCCCGUCACACCAUGGGAGUUGGUUCUACCUUAAGGCAAGGUUUCAAACCCUUGACCACGGUAUAGUCAGCGACUGGGGUGAAGUCGUAACAAGGUA